rnacentral:ncRNA from 1 species
CUAUGACUUAAUUGUCAUGGCGGAAGGAG